GACGUAGGGCGCGAGCGUUGUCCGGAUUUAUUGGGCGUAAAGAGCUCGUAGGCGGCUCGUUGCGUCGGCUGUGAAAACCUGCAGCUUAACUGUGGGCUUGCGGUCGAUACGGGCAUCACUGGAGUUCGGCAGGGGAGACUGGAAUUCCUGGUGUAGCGGUGAAAUGCGCAGAUAUCAGGAGGAACACCGGUGGCGAAGGCGGGUCUCUGGGGCCGAUACUGACGUGGAGGAGCGAAAAGCGUGGGGGAGC
rnacentral:rRNA from 1 species